rnacentral:rRNA from 1 species
GACGAACGCUGGCGGCGUGCCUAAUACAUGCAAGUAGAACGCUGAAGGAGGAGCUUGCUUCUCUGGAUGAGUUGCGAACGGGUGAGUAACGCGUAGGUAACCUGCCUGGUAGCGGGGGAUAACUAUUGGAAACGAUAGCUAAUACCGCAUAAGAGUAGAUGUUGCAUGACAUUUGCUUAAAAGGUGCAAUUGCAUCACUACCAGAUGGACCUGCGUUGUAUUAGCUAGUUGGUGGGGUAACGGCUCACCAAGGCGACGAUACAUAGCCGACCUGAGAGGGUGAUCGGCCACACUGGGACUGAGACACGGCCCAGACUCCUACGGGAGGCAGCAGUAGGGAAUCUUCGGCAAUGGACGGAAGUCUGACCGAGCAACGCCGCGUGAGGGAAGAAGGUUUUCGGAUCGUAAAGCUCUGUUGUAAGGGAAGAACGAGUGUGAGAGUGGAAAGUUCACACUGUGACGGUAUCUUACCAGAAAGGGACGGCUAACUACGUG